GACGAACGCUGGCGGCGUGCCUAACACAUGCAAGUCGAACGGAAAGGCCCUGCUUUUGUGGGGUGCUCGAGUGGCGAACGGGUGAGUAACACGUGAGUAACCUGCCCCUGACUUUGGGAUAACUUCAGGAAACUGGGGCUAAUACCGGAUAGGAUCUCUUGCUGCAUGGUGGGGGUUGGAAAGUUUCGGCGGUUGGGGAUGGACUCGCGGCUUAUCAGCUUGUUUGUGGGGUAGUGGCUUACCAAGGCUUUGACGGGUAGCCGGCCUGAGAGGGUGACCGGCCACAUUGGGACUGAGAUACGGCCCAGACUCCAACGGGACGCAACGGUGGAGAGUAUUACACAGUGGGCGGGAGCCUGAUGCAACGACGCCGCGUGCGGGAUAACGGCCUUCGGGUUGUAAACCACUUUCGCCUGAGACGAGGCGUGAGUGACGGUAAUGGGUAAAGAAGCACCGGCUAACUACGUG
rnacentral:rRNA from 1 species